rnacentral:rRNA from 1 species
UACGUAGGGUGCAAGCGUUGUCCGGAAUUAUUGGGCGUAAAGAGCUCGUAGGCGGUCUGCCGCGUCGGCUGUGAAAACCCGGAGCUCAACUCCGGGCCUGCAGUCGAUACGGGCAGACUGGAGUUCGGCAGGGGAGACUGGAAUUCCUGGUGUAGCGGUGAAAUGCGCAGAUAUCAGGAGGAACACCGGUGGCGAAGGCGGGUCUCUGGGCCGAUACUGACGCUGAGGAGCGAAAGCGUGGGGAGCGAACAGG